rnacentral:piRNA from 1 species
UAAGUCUCACGUGAAUAAGGUCCCUUUCA